rnacentral:lncRNA from 1 species
GAACAAAAAAUGUUCAACUGAAUAUCUGCUACAUCCAAAGUACUAUGCUAAAGACUGGCAUUUGAGGAAUGCCUAUUCACUUGUAAUAUUAACUUUGUAGAAUUAAGCUAAGCAAAAAUGAGCAAUAAAACAUCUCUUUUAUCCAGUUAGGGAACAAGGGAAAGAAACAAUACAUGUCAAAGUAUGAAUUCUGAGGAAAGUACACCUUAAUUUCCUCAUUUAUAAAAUGAGACAGUUAUACUAAAUGACUUACAGGUUCCUUUAGCUAAAUAUCUGCCCCUCUGCUACUAAAUUAACUCUGACAACAAUAAUAAAACAUACCAUAAGCAUAGUGAAAGACUGAUAUAAUUAACUUAUCACAGGCAAUCAGCAGAACAUUUUCAGUGGACAGGUUAUUAGGAUUUGUCAGUCUUUCUUUGGGUGUUAGCCCAGGAGGAAUAUCUGAAGGUGUUUUUCACUUAUUGUUACUUUCUGCAAGGGUUCUCUUAUAUGAGAUUAAGUCUGCAAAUAUUUACUGAUCAUGUAUUGCAUUUAAAGUAUUCUAAGAGCUGUUUAUUAUGCAAAAAUAUGAGAGGCUGUGCAGUAAUCCUGG